GCUGUUCCUUCACACUCACGUUUCCAAGCUGAAAACGCGAGGGGCUCAAAACUGGAAAGGAAAACAGCGUGGUCGGCCUCUCGUUCCUGCGACGCGUUCUGUGGUCUGGAAGCACCAGACGGCGCGCGUGUGGGGUGGCCAGCGACGGGCUGCCACGGAGGUGUGCGACCUGCAGGCCACAGACAUUCCCAGAGAGCCCCUGCGUGCAAAACAUGGACACACAGAUGUUUGUGAAGCUCUGGGAUGGCGUUUAGCAGGAGGAAUAACGGGGUCUUCAGAGAAUCAACAAAAUAAAUGUAGCACCUGUUGGGUUAUUGAAACCAGUUGUUAUUAGGAAGGGAUCUGGGGCAAU
rnacentral:lncRNA from 1 species